rnacentral:rRNA from 1 species
GGGUCAGUAGGUUGGUCGUUCCACCGGUACGUACUGGUCUCACUGAUUCAUCCUUCCUGAAGAACCUUAAUGCCAUUAAUUUGGUGUUGCGGGGAAACAGGACUGUUACUUUGAAAAAAUUAGAGUGUUUAAAGCAAGCUAACGAUUGAAUACAUUAGCAUGGAAUAAUGAAAUAGGACGAUCGAUCCUAUUUUGUUGGUUUCUAGGAUUGACGUAAUGAUUAAUUUGGAUAGUUGGG